GGACCAUCGUAGCUCAGAGUCAGAGCACCUGCCCUGCAUGCAGAAGGUCCCAGGUUCAGUCCCUGUCAGCAUCUCCA